AAAGAAAAGAAAGAAAGGGGAAAAAGGGGCUGCAGACGGGAUUGCGGCCGCAGCGGCAGCUACUGCGUAUGCAGCAGUUAUGUUUGCAAGAGAAGGGAGGAAGGAAGGUAGUGCGGUGGAAGGGGCUGCGAUUGUGGCAGUGGCAGCGGCGGCGACUGUGGCAGCUACGUUUGGGAAAGAAAAAGAAGGAAUGAGAGUAAGAGAGAGCAGGUGACUGUGCCUCGAUGUUCGACACGUGAUGUAGUUGUGAAGAAAGAAAGAAAAUGAGUGCACAAAAUGAAACAGGGAGGGGAUGGAGGAAAAGUAGAAAAAGGAUUCGAGCGUACACCUUCUUCGAAUCUUUGGAUCAAAACCUUCAAAAGGCAAGUUUCCCGAUCGUUUCUCCUGUAAUUGUUCUAUUUUUUCUAUUGCAAAUGAUUCGAUCCUUUCUAUUGCAAGUGUUCCGAUCCUUCCUAUUGCAAGUUUUCUAAUCUUUCCUAUAGCAAGUGCCCUGAUCUUUCCUUAUUACAAUUUUAUCUCUACAUUUGCUUUGAAUAUGAGAAACUUUGAAUUGUUCUAGCCUUGCAUUUGAUAUAUCUCCUAUUUAGACAUAACGAUUCGAAUCUGUGCAACUUCUGAGAUUAUGAUCUUUUGAUAUCGAGCUGCCUAUAAGUCUUUGUUGGAAACUCUGAUUUGCUCAAAACUGAUUUCAUUGGAAACUAGACUCGUAGAUCUUUCUUUUGAUAUAUGGAUUGAAAGAUUUGGAAUCCAAACACCUGCCUAGUUAUCUGUUGAAUCUGACCUUAUGAAUCUUGCCAAACAGAGAUUUUGUUCUCCGACCCUUGUUUACCAAAUUAUUUGUAACUCUCUCUAUUGGACAGUUCAAUUCAUAUGAAGCCUGUCCUAUCUGAAAGUAUAAUCCAAUGAUAUAUUUUUGAGUAAAUUGGAGCACGAUUGAUAGUUUGAAUCAUUUGUUCAAUGUGCCUCUUGUAUUCUGUCAGAAAUCGAGCUUUGGUCGAUUUCUCAUAUUCUGGUUUUAUUCCUUUGGAAAUUGAUAUCCUUUAGCUUUCUUAUUCAAUUGAGCUUUAUAUUACUGUUUUGAAUUCUUGUAUGCUCUUGUCCUUAAAGUUAUUUGCAUUCUUGAAAUCUAUUGUGUAACGUUUAUGCUAUAUCGUAUUGACUCAUAUAGGCACAAGUGUAUCCCAUUGUUCCGCAUUUGCUUUCGAUAUGUGCCUAUUUCAUUUCCUUUCAAAUCUGAAUACCAUUGUGAAAGAUUAUUGCUUACUUCGUAUUGACUCGUAAAGGCACAUGUACAUUUUGUUGUUCCGCGUGUGCUUCUGAUAUGUGCUAUUUAUUGUUCAUACUGCCCUUUUGUACUCUGGUGUUUGUGGGAUUUGUGAACCUUUGCCAGAAAUGGUAAAGGGAGUUAUGCAUAGAGCCUGCGAUGCUCUGCCGGCCCCCUCUGACUUCACCUAGAAGUGGGUGGAUGGAGCUCCUAGACGUGGGAGACCUCCCAGACGUGGGAGACUUCUGUUUGGUGGUCAUUCAGAAAUGGAUGAAUCACAUUCUGUUUGUGGUCCCACUACACCUUCUGUAUGUUUGAUAUGAUAUCCAGAGCUUUGGUUAUGUAUUUCUGUACAUGCUUUGGAUAAGAAUGAUAUGAAUGCAACGUCAAAUACAACGUUUGAGCUUCUGUUUGGUAUUUGUUAUUGAUAUGUUCCGAAAUGUUUCAUUUGUUAUUGAUAUACUCUGAAACAUUUCAUACCCCAUUGAUAUGCUCGAAAUAUUCCAUCUGUUAUUGUUACGUUUCGAAAUGUUCCAUGUCAUUGAUAUGCUCCGGAACAUUUCAUACGCCAUUGAUAUGCUCCGAAAUAUUUCAUCUGUUAUUGUUAUGCUUCGAAAUGUUCCAUGUCAUUGAUAUGCUCCGGAACAUUUCAUAUGUCAUUGAUAUGCUCCGAAAUGCUUCAUCUGCUAUUUUCUUAAAUUAUUGUUCACAAUACCCUUUUGUACUCUGGUGUUUGUGGGAUUAUUUGGACCUUUGCCAGAAAUGGUAAAGGGUAUGUGCUUAGAGCCUGCGAUGCUCUAGAUUAUGUUUGGUGGUCAUUUAAAAAUGGAUGGACCAUGUUAUGUUUGGAAUCUCACUUCACCUUCUAUCUGUUUCAUCUGUUAUUGUUACGCUUCAAAAUGUUCCAUAUGUUAUUGAUAUGUUCCGGAACAUUUCAUACGCUAUUGAUAUGCUUCAAUUACUCUGUGCUCCAUUUGCUAUGAACUGAUAUGUUCUGAAAUGUCCUAUUUGCCAUUGAUAUGCUCCGGAAUAUCUCGUACGCUUUUAUAUGCUCCAAUUACUCUGUGCUCCAUUUGUUAUGAAUCAAAUAUGUUUUGAAUGACAUGACACAUAUGAUUUUGUAUCUAAUGAGAUGGUAUCUUUGAGAAUUCUUGUAUUCUGCCUUGCAUUAUGAUACCUUACUUGUUUGAAACCGUUCCUUUUGUUCUGAAUAUACUUUGUCACUUGCUGAGCUGUUUUUAGCUUACUCCGUUGUUAUAUAAAUCUUUCAGGUCAGCUUGUCACUCUUUGAGAUGU
rnacentral:lncRNA from 1 species